UACGUAGGGGCAAGCGUUGUCCGGAUUCACUGGGCGUAAAGCGCGCGCAGGCGGUGAUGUAAGUCUGAGGUGAAAACCCGAAGCUCAACUUCGGGACUGCCUUGGAUACUGCGUCACUUGAGGAUAGGAGAGGCAAGGGGAAUUCCACGUGUAGCGGUGAAAUACGUAGAUAUCUGGAGGAAUACCGGUGGCGAAGGCGGUUAUCUGGCCCAACAUUGACACUGAGACCCGAAAGCGUGGGGAUCAAACAGGAUUAGAAACCCUUGUAGU
rnacentral:rRNA from 1 species